rnacentral:lncRNA from 1 species
CGAUCGAUACACAGAUGUGAGUAUCCAUCGAUUAUUCCUCUCCAAUAUUGACCGAUGGUCGAGCUCGAUGGUCAUCUCGGGUACUUGCUCCAAAUAUCUCCAAAAUGCUCCAAAAUUAUCACUUAUCUCCAAAACACUCCUGAUCAUAUAAAUAUGAUAUAUAGACUCUAUAAUAUAAUAAUUAUUAGUAAAAACACCUAUAAACUAUGAAUGAAAAUGGGUCAAACCCAUAGUCUAUCAACUCCUC